rnacentral:rRNA from 1 species
GACGAACGCUGGCGGCGUGCCUAAUACAUGCAAGUCGAGCGAAUGGAUGGGAGCUUGCUCCCUGAAGUUAGCGGCGGACGGGUGAGUAACACGUGGGCAACCUGCCUGUAAGACUGGGAUAACUUCGGGAAACCGGAGCUAAUACCGGAUACAUUCUUUCUUCGCCUGAAGAAAGAUGGAAAGAUGGUUUCGGCUAUCACUUACAGAUGGGCCCGCGGCGCAUUAGCUAGUUGGUGAGGUAACGGCUCACCAAGGCAACGAUGCGUAGCCGACCUGAGAGGGUGAUCGGCCACACUGUGACUGAGACACGGCCCAGACUCCCACGGGAGUCAGCAGUAGGGAAUCUUCCGCAAUGGACGAAAGUCUGACGGAGCAACGCCGCGUGGGCGAAGAAGGCCUUCGGGUCGUAAAGCUCUGUUGUUAGGGAAGAACAAGUACCAGGGUAACUGCGGGUACCUUGACGGUACCUAACCAGAAAGCCACGGCUAACUACGUGCCAGCCGCCGCAGUAACAC